UACGGGGGGGGCAAGCGUUGUUCGGAAUUACUGGGCGUAAAGGGUGCGUAGGCGGCUUUCUAAGUUGGAUGUGAAAACUCUGGGCUCAACCCAGAGCCUGCAUCCAAAACUGGAGAGCUUGGGUUCUGGAGGGGAAAGCGGAAUUCCUGGUGUAGCGGUGAAAUGCGUAGAUAUCAGGAGGAACACCGGUAGCGAAGGCGGCUUUCUGGACAGAUACCGACGCUGGAGGCGCGAAAGCGUGGGGAGUAAACAGG
rnacentral:rRNA from 1 species